rnacentral:rRNA from 1 species
UACAGAGGGUGCGAGCGUUAAUCGGAAUUACUGGGCGUAAAACGCGCGUAGGCGGCUUUGCAAGUCGGGUGUGGAAUCCCCAGGCUUAACCUGGGAACUGCAUUCGAGACUGCAUUGCUAGAGUAUGGGAGAGGGAAGUGGAAUUUCCGGUGUAGCGGUGAAAUGCGUAGAGAUCGGAAGGAACAUCAGUGGCGAAAGCGACUUCCUGGACCAAUACUGACGCUCAUGUGCGAAAGCGUGGGGAGCAAACAGG